UACGAGGGGGGCGAGCGUUGUUCGGAAUUAUUGGGCGUAAAGGGUGCGUAGGCGGUUCCGCAAGUCCUGUGUGAAAUCUUCGGGCUCAACUCGAAGUCUGCACGGGAAACUGGCGGGCUUGAGUGUGGGAGAGGUGAGUGGAAUUCCCGGUGUAGCGGCGAAAUGCGUAGAUAUCGGGAGGAACACCUGUGGCGAAAGCGGCUCACUGGACCAUAACUGACGCUGAUGCACGAAAGCUGGGGGGAGCAAACAGG
rnacentral:rRNA from 1 species